UGGGGAAUAUUGCGCAAUGGGGGGAACCCUGACGCAGCCAUGCCGCGUGAAUGAAGAAGGCCUUAGGGUUGUAAAGUUCUUUCGGUAUUGAGGAAGGUUGAUGUGUUAAUAGCACAUCAAAUUGACGUUAAAUACAGAAGAAGCACCGGCUAACUCCGUGCCAGCAGCCGCGGUAAUACGGAGGGUGCGAGCGUUAAUCGGAAUAACUGGGCGUAAAGGGCACGCAGGCGGUUAUUUAAGUGAGGUGUGAAAGCCCCGGGCUUAACCUGGGAAUUGCAUUUCAGACUGGGUAACUAGAGUACUUUAGGGAGGGGUAGAAUUCCACGUGUAGCGGUGAAAUGCGUAGAGAUGUGGAGGAAUACCGAAGGCGAAGGCAGCCCCUUGGGAAUGUACUGACGCCCAUGUGCGAAAGCGUGGGGAGCAAACAGGAUUAGAUACCCUGGUAGUCCACGCUGUAAACGCUGUCGAUUUGGGGGUUGGGGUUUAACUCUGGCGCCCGUAGCUAACGUGAUAAAUCGACCGCCUGGGGAGUACGGCCGCAAGGUUA
rnacentral:rRNA from 1 species